rnacentral:rRNA from 1 species
UCGGAUCAGGUAGGGAUACCCGCUGAACUUAAGCAUAUCAAUAAGCGGAGGAAAAGAAACCAACAGGGAUUGCCCUAGUAACGGCGAGUGAAGCGGCAACAGCUCAAAUUUGAAAGCUAGCCUUCGGGUUCGCAUUGUAAUUUGUAGAGGAUGAUUUGGGGAAGCCGCCUGUCUAAGUUCCUUGGAACAGGACGUCAUAGAGGGUGAGAAUCCCGUAUGUGACAGGAAAUGGCACCCUAUGUAAAUCUCCUUCGACGAGUCGAGUUGUUUGGGAAUGCAGCUCUAAAUGGGAGGUAAAUUUCAUCUAAAGCUAAAUAUUGGCCGGAGACCGAUAGCGCACAAGUAGAGUGAUCGAAAGAUGAAAAGCACUUUGAAAAGAGAGUUAAAAAGCACGUGAAAUUGUUGAAAGGGAAGCGCUUGCGACCAGACUC